rnacentral:tRNA from 1 species
UUUAGCUUAGUGGUAGAGCAUCUGCUUCGUAAGCAGAAGGUCGUCAGUUCAAUCCUGGCAAG